rnacentral:lncRNA from 1 species
CUUAAUUUUAAUACCCACAUACCUCAUUUUAUAGCAUUUUGCUUUAUUGUUCUUUGCAGAUAUUGCAGAUUUUACAAAUUGAAGGUUUGUGACAACUCCCUCAAGGAAGUCUGUUGGUGUUAUUUUUCCAACAGCAGGUACUCCAUGUCUGUGUCACAUUUUGAUAAGAUUAACAUUUAAAACAGUAGACUUUGAGUAAAGCAGAUGACCCAUUUCUAAAUUGAGGAGAUCUCAUCCAAUCAGUUGAACAC